CGCUUCCGUCCGUACGCAGUGCGGCUGUGUCGGUAAAAUUCUAUUGUGUCGAUGGUGACGGUUAAAUUUGUGUCCGAACGGCGGACUCAUUUAUCUUUACAAUCCCAACCGCUACCGCUGCAGUGUGUGGGCACCUUAAUAUUAAUAAUCUUACAGUAAAUAGGUAUCGUAUAAUUAAAAGUUGAUUAAACACAACGAAUUCCAAUUGGUCGUUGUUUACUAUUCUCGUACACUUAAUUUUUUUCUUAUAUAAUUCUCGGAUAAACCUUAUAGUAUCAAUAACGACUGCAGUGCUUUACUUGGAACACUAUUUGGACAUCAAGUUUAGUGAAUCUUCCUGUUGAGUUGCAAUGAAACCUCACUCUGAUGCUAGAUCUCGACUCAAGGCCUCAACAACUGAUGUGCAACAUUGACAAACUGGCAGACGAUAUGUGAAAUGUCAAAGAAUACACACCAGAUAAGAAAGAUGAAACUUUUACCAACGUACUACGUCAGUUUGACAAAGCAAAAGAAUAUAAUGAUGAUAAAGUCCAAUUGGCUAUACAAACUUAUGAAUUGUGUCCUAUUGAAUAGUUGUACAUUGCAUGCGUCUAAUUGAGAACACGUAAAAACCUGGAAUUUAAUAUCUGGAUUGGACAAAAUUGGACUAUAAAAAAUUGGGAUUGAACCAUUAGUCUUUGAGUAUUGUAGUGUUAGUUUAAUAGUGAUCCUAACUGCCAUUCUCAAAGGCUAUAAGUUCUGUCCUAAUUGUAUAACAGACAGAAAAAAAAACAUCUUAAAAAUGAAAUAAGUUUUUAUAUUUUAUAUAUAAAUACAUAUAAAGUUGGGUCUUGAUAACUCAAAUUUCAAGGGAAGUAAAAGUUAAUUAAACCUAUGUAUUUUUUGAGUUACAAAUAUUGUAUUGAGUAUAUAAGAAUUCCAUUGGGACAAAAAGAAAUUUGAGUUAUCGAGACUCGACUGUAUUGUGUAGCUAUAUAGUAGGGGUGGCCAACAUGAAUGUGUUCACAAACCACAUGGACAAAUACAAUUAUGCCAUAAGCCAAAAUGUAUAUAGAUGAAUUUUAUAUAAUUUGAUAAAUUUUAAUAAACACUUACCAAAAAAUUUAAAUUUAUAACAAUAGUAAGUAAGUUAAGAUUUUAUAAUUAAGAUGCGAGCCAUC